rnacentral:rRNA from 1 species
CUUCCCAGGCGGAGUACUUAAUGUGUUAACUGCGGCACAGGGGGUGGUACCCCCCUACACCUAGUACUCAUCGUUUACGGCGUGGACUACCAGGGUGUCUAAUCCUGUUUGCUCCCCACGCUUUCAUGCCUCAGCGUCAGUUACGUUCCAGAAAUUCGCCUUCGCUACUGGUGUUCCUCCCAAUCUCUACGCAUUUCACCGCUACACUGGGAAUACCAAUUUCCUCUCCCGCACUCUAGCUUUCCAGUUUGGAAUGCAGUUCCUGGGUUGAGCCCAGGGAUUUCACAUCCCACUUAAAAAGCCGCCUACGCAUUCUUUACGCCCAGUAAUUCCGGACAACGCUUGCCACCUACGUAUUACCGCGGCUGCUGGCACGUAGUUAGCCGUGGCUUCCUCCUCGCUUACCGUCAUUCUUCGUCAGCGAAGACAGAGCUUUACAACCCGAAGGCCUUCAUCGCUCACGCGGCGUUGCUGCAUCAGGCUUUCGC